GAAUUGCGAUAAGUAAUGUGAAUUGCAGAAUUCAGUGAAUCAUCGAAUCUUUGAACGCAUCUUGCGCUCUUUGGUAUUCCGAAGAGCAUGCCUGUUUGAGUGUCAUGAAACUCUCACCUCCAGCCUUCUUUAAUUAGAGGUGUUGGGGCGUGGACGUGAGUGCUGCUGGUGCCCUAGUUGCAUCGGCUCACUUGAAAUACAUUAGCUGAAUCCUCUAGAGGUGGUUCUACUCGACGUGAUAAGAUCUCCGUCGAGGACAGUGCAACUUGUUGUGCUGGCCGCCGCUAGCUGUUGAUACGCUUCUAAUUAGCGCAGACUUCGAGUGCUGGCAACUUUUGACAACUUGGCCUCAAAUCAGGUAGGACUACCCACUGAACUUAA
rnacentral:misc_RNA from 1 species